GAGUUUGAUCCUGGCUCAGGACGAACGCUGGCGGCAGGCUUAACACAUGCAAGUCGAGCGCACUCUUCGGAGUGAGCGGCGGACGGGUUAGUAACGCGUGGGAUCGUGCCCUUCUCUAAGGAAUAGCCACUGGAAACGGUGAGUAAUACCUUAUACGCCCUUCGGGGGAAAGAUUUAUCGGAGAAGGAUCGGCCCGCGUUAGAUUAGAUAGUUGGUGGGGUAACGGCCUACCAAGUCUACGAUCUAUAGCUGGUUUUAGAGGAUGAUCAGCAACACUGGGACUGAGACAUGGCCCAGACUCCUACGGGAGGCAGCAGUGGGGAAUCUUGGACAAUGGGCGCAAGCCUGAUCCAGCCAUGCCGCGUGAGUGAUGAAGGCCCUGGGGUCGUAAAGCUCUUUCGCCAGGGAUGAUAAUGACAGUACCUGGUAAAGAAACCCCGGCUAACUCCGUGCCAGCAGCCGCGGUAAUACGGAGGGGGUUAGCGUUGUUCGGAAUUACUGGGCGUAAAGCGCACGUAGGCGGAUCGGAAAGUUGGGGGUGAAAUCCCGGGGCUCAACCCCGGAACUGCCUCCAAAACUAUCGGUCUAGAGUUCGAGAGAGGUGAGUGGAAUUCCGAGUGUAGAGGUGAAAUUCGUAGAUAUUCGGAGGAACACCAGUGGCGAAGGCGGCUCACUGGCUCGAUACUGACGCUGAGGUGCGAAAGUGUGGGGAGCAAACAGGAUUAGAUACCCUGGUAGUCCAUACCGUAAACGAUGAAU
rnacentral:rRNA from 1 species